rnacentral:rRNA from 1 species
GACGAGCGCUGGCGGCGUGCAUAACACAUGCAAGUCGAACGAUGAAGAAGAGAAUGGAGACUUCGGUCAAAGUUCGCUUCGGAUUAGUGGCAGACGGGUGAGUAACGCGUGAGCAACCUACCUCUUACAAAGGGAUAGCCAUGGGAAACCGUGAUUAAUACCGUAUGACAUUGCUUUUUUGCAUGAAGAAGCAAUUAAACUCAGGUGGUGUAAGAUGGGCUCGCGUCUGAUUAGCUAGUUGGUGAGGUAACGGCCCACCAAGGCGACGAUCAGUAGCCGGCUUGAGAGAGUGAACGGCCACACUGGAACUGAGACACGGUCCAG